AUCACCAAACAAAAUAAUUAUGAGUCAUUAAUAAUAUCAAAUCGAACGGUUCACGUUACUUUGUGUUAGUCUAAUUGGAUCCCCGUAAAGGCUUCCAAAACUUUAUAAUGUGGAAUCGUGCUAACGCACUCUCCAUCUACAUCGUACCAUCACUCUCAGACUUGUGAUUAUUCCUACCACAUGAAAUCCACACUAUAAAAUUCAUCACCUCUUCUUGUUCUCACCAAUUAGACUAUUAGGCUCUCGGAGGUCCAAGAUUGACCUUCUCCACACUUUUAAUUAUUUUUUGUUGUGUUGAUAUCUUUUCUUGUUUCUAAAAAUUUUGAGUUCUUUUUGUUUAUGCUAGGUCCAUGAGUUGGGCAACAUAACCUCGUUCAUGAACCUUCUUUAUAGAUCUACUCAAAUGGAGUUUGUUGACCAUGUCUUUUAUUUCUCUGUCCUCUCCUUUAUUAUUUGCCCUACUCUUUGUUCUAAUUAUGGACACUAAACAUCUUCAACAACCGUGAUUUCCUUGAUUAAUGAAAUAAGCUUAGUGGCAAUGGGAGGGUGGCGAUUUCUAGCUCUAGCAAUGGAUUUGUGAAAUGCGCUCAUCUUCCUCCCACAAAAGUUGCUGAACAAAUGCACUCUUCCAAUAAUGAGAAAACGGUGAAGUUCUCCAUUUGAUCUUAAUACUAAACUAGAUGAGGAGAAGGAGGAACCAAUUUCUUGCUCCAAGGAAGCUCGUGCCAAAGUUGGUGGAGAGUGUGAAACAAAACCCGCAACUUCUGAACCAGAUGACAACAUUCGACUAGAAAUAACUAUUAUUAACAUAAUCAAUGUUGUUGAUCGAGAAUCUGACUCUCAGAAUAGGUUUUAUUUUUCGAAAAUUAUUAAAUGCUCCAUGAGAAUAUAAUUUAAUUUAUCAAUUUCAAUAUGACACAUACAUUAUAUUUUUUGGUGGUGA